UACGAAGGGGGCUAGCGUUGCUCGGAAUCACUGGGCGUAAAGCGCACGUAGGCGGAUUGUUGAGUCAGGGGUGAAAUCCUGGAGCUCAACUCCAGAACUGCCUUUGAUACUGGCGAUCUCGAGUCCGGGAGAGGUGAGUGGAACUGCGAGUGUAGAGGUGAAAUUCGUAGAUAUUCGCAAGAACACCAGUGGCGAAGGCGGCUCACUGGCCCGGUACUGACGCUGAGGUGCGAAAGCGUGGGGAGCAAACAGG
rnacentral:rRNA from 1 species